rnacentral:rRNA from 1 species
CGAGACCUCAGGUCAGGCGGGGCUACCCGCUGAGUUUA